UACGUAGGGGGCAAGCGUUGUCCGGAUUUAUUGGGCGUAAAGAGCGUGUAGGCGGUUUGGUAGGUCCGUUGUGAAAACUCGAGGCUCAACCUCGAGACGCCGAUGGAAACCAUCAGACUAGAGUCCGGAAGAGGAGAGUGGAAUUCCUGGUGUAGCGGUGAAAUGCGCAGAUAUCAGGAAGAACACCCGUGGCUAAGGCGGCUCUCUAGUACGGUACUGACGCUGAGACGCGAAAGCGUGGGGAGCGAACCGG
rnacentral:rRNA from 1 species